CCUACGGGUGGCUGCAGUGGGGAAUAUUGCACAAUGGGGGGAACCCUGAUGCAGCAACGCCGCGUGGGUGAAGAAGUACUCCGGUAUGUAAAGCCCUGUCAGCAGGGAAGAAAAUGACGGUACCUGACCAAGAAGCCCCGGCUAACUACGUGCCAGCAGCCGCGGUAAUACGUAGGGGGCAAGCGUUAUCCGGAUUUACUGGGUGUAAAGGGAGCGUAGACGGCAAGGCAAGUCUGGAGUGAAAGCCCGGGGCCCAACCACGGGACUGCUUUGGAAACUGUGUUGCUAGAGUGCAGGAGAGGUAAGCGGAAUUCCUAGUGUAGCGGUGAAAUGCGUAGAUAUUAGGAGGAACACCAGUGGCGAAGGCGGCUUACUGGACAGUAACUGACGUUGAGGCUCGAAGGCGUGGGGAGCAAACAGGAUUAGAUACCCGGGUAGUC
rnacentral:rRNA from 1 species